rnacentral:rRNA from 1 species
GACGAACGCUGGCGGCGUGCUUAACACAUGCAAGUCGAACGGAAAGGCCCUGCUUUUGUGGGGUGCUCGAGUGGCGAACGGGUGAGUAACACGUGAGUAACCUGCCCUUGACUUUGGGAUAACUUCAGGAAACUGGGGCUAAUACCGGAUAGGAGCUCCUGCUGCAUGGUGGGGGUUGGAAAGUUUCGGCGGUUGGGGAUGGACUCGCGGCUUAUCAGCUUGUUGGUGGGGUAGUGGCUUACCAAGGCUUUGACGGGUAGCCGGCCUGGGAGGGUGACCGGCCAAUUGGGACCGGAGUUCGGCCCCAAACCCCUCGGGGGGGAGGAGGGGGGAAUUGUGGAAAAAGGGCCGAAGCCCUACUGAGGAACGCCGGGGUCGGGGAUGAGGCCCUUCGGGUUGAAACCGGCUUUCCCCGGUGCGGAGGGGUGGGUGCGGGUAUGGGGUAAAGAGGCACCGCCUACCUCCGU